rnacentral:misc_RNA from 1 species
UAUUAAAUGAUUUUUUAACUUUAUAAUUCUUGUACACUUUAGUCCUUUAAAAAAUCAUAUAACUCAGUCUGCCAACAUAAGACUGCAAAAAUGAACAUUAUGUACUCGGAUAGAACUAAUGCUGCAGUAUACUCCCUUUUCACCUGAGUUGACUUUUCCCAAUGGAAAGUGAGAAGGCAUGAACUAGGCAGCAGGCAAUGAGAAACCCCGAGACAUACUAUAAAUUGAGUCCAAAUAAAAAGAUGAAGCCUAUCCAUUGCAUUCUGAAGUUAAUAUGCAACAAGUAAGGCAAGUUUCCAUAUAAAAUUUUUUAAUCAUAGGAAUGGAGCUAAACUCCCCUCACUGCAAUUGCAGAAUACGGAAAGAACACUAUUUUAGGGGAAGAACUUUCCUCUGAAUGCCAUUUCAUAAGAAGAUGAGAAGACCACCAAUGAAUUUUAUUUUCCAUGCUAUUCAAUCCAUAUUUCUUGACUAGAAGUUAUGGCCUCCAUUUUGCAGCAAUUUUUUGCAAUACCAUAUUCAGGUUCCCUAAGAAAAGAGUUUUCUCCAGAAACUCAUGCUCAAUCCUCUCAAGUUUCAUAGAAAUCCCUGCUUGAAUUUUCUGAUGCAAUUUCAGACUGUUAUAGUGAUAUAUUAUUAGGUGUUUUAGCUGGCAGAUAAGAUAUCACUGAAGAGACCCAAAUUGAAAUGCAAAACUAAAACAAUAUUAAAAUUUUCUUUAUAUGUGGAGACUAUAAUUCUGAUGUCAGUACCUUGUAAAAGCAUAAAAAUGAAUCAGUCAGAGAAUGAUGCCAUUGCAGUUCAUCAACCAAUUCACUGCUAUCUGUAGUGUAAUAUCCAUCACAGAAUCCCGCCAUUGAUUAGGUCUUAUCCUCAUAAUUGCCUUUUUCUUUAAACAAUCAUAAAAACUGCCUUUUAAGACAAUAUAAAAUAUCACUCAACAAUUGGUUUCUUCCUGCUACAAGGCUUGCUUUUGUAGGCUACAGAGCUACACAGCAUGCUGUGAAACAUAUGCAUUUCUACAAUUGGUAGGAAUAGACAGCUCUCAAUGAGGAAUGUAGAUUUGUAUGCAAUUUACCCAUUCUACUACUUUCCUACCAAUAAUCCAGGCAUGAACAUGAACCCUGCUUGAAAUGAUGAAAACGAUGGCGAUCCCUCACCACAAUUUCACGAUUAAAAGCUCUAGAAAUUAGCUUUGCUGCUGUAUGACAAUCAUUACAUAUUCGCAAAUUCUUCAUUAUCCUUAUUGGUGUUGGUGAGUUAAUGGUGAUAAGCCCAAAGGCAAUAGCAAGUUUCUCGCUAUGUCUGAACAGAGAAGCUUCCUUCUCCUCCUCAUCAAUGUCAAGAGAAACCACAUUUGUAUCUGGAGCAUAACCUUCCAUCUUUAAUUUCUUAGCCAUUUCAUCCAGCAUAUUCUCAAUAUCUUUAAUUUGAGGGUGUGUCUUAUCUCCUGCGAGGAACUCAUGAACUGUUCCAUUUGCUUCGAUUGUGCUACAUCCUGGGGUCUUCACCACCCCAUGUUGUACCAUCAUCCCCCUAACCUCAAGAACACCAUCCCAAUUACCUUUUGAAGCAUAUAUAUUAGAUAGUAGUACAUGGAACCCUUCAUGGGCAGGCUGAAGUUCAAUAAGCUUCCUUCCAACCCUCUCUCCCAUUUCAUUAUCUCCAUAUUUCUUACAAGCCCCAAGCAAUGCUCCCCAAGUGGAAACAUCUGGUGCCAUAGGCAUAUUCUCAAUUAGUUCCUCCGCUUCUUUUAGCAGACCUGCCCGUCCUAGAAGAUCAACCAUGCAUCCA